CUUUAGAUAUGAUCCAGAGUACCACGGGACACGUGAAACCCUGUGGGAAGCAGGAGGGACCACCCUCCAAGGCUAAAUACUACCUAGUGACCGAUAGCGUAUAGUACCGUGAGGGAAAGGUGAAAAGAACCCCGGGAGGGGAGUGAAAUAGAACCUGAAACCCUGCACUUACAAGCUGUGGAAGCACAUUUCUUGUGUGACCGCGUACUUUUUGUAGAACGGGCCAACGAGUUACGUUAAGUAGCAAGGUUAAGCACUUAAGGUGCGGAGCCGUAGCGAAAGCGAGUUUUAACUGAGCGUUCAGUUACUUGACGUAGACCCGAAACCGGGCGACCUACCCAUGAGCAGGAUGAAGCGAAAGUAAAAUUUCGUGGAGGUCCGAACCCACGAGCGUUGAAAAGCUCGGGGAUGACUUGUGGGUAGCGGUGAAAUUCCAAUCGAGCCCGGAGAUAGCUGGUUCUCCCCGAAAUAGCUUUAGGGCUAGCCUCAAGGUGAGAGAUACGGAGGUAGAGCACUGAAUGUCCUAGGGGGUAUUGCACCUACCGAAGACUAUCAAACUCCGAAUGCCGUCAUCUUAUACUUGGGAGUCAGACUGUGGGUGAUAAGAUUCAUAGUCGAAAGGGCAACAGCCCAGAUCGUCAGCUAAGGUCCCUAAAUGUAAGUUAAGUGGUAAAGGAUGUGGGAUUGCACAGACAACCAGGAUGUUGGCUUAGAAGCAGCCACUCAUUCAAAGAGUGCGUAAUAGCUCACUGGUCGAGUGAUCCUGCGCCGAAGAUUUCCGGGGCUAAAACUU
rnacentral:rRNA from 1 species